rnacentral:rRNA from 2 species
AACAGAACGCUGGCGGCAGGCUUAACACAUGCAAGUCGAGCGGGCGUAGCAAUACGUCAGCGGCAGACGGGUGAGUAACGCGUGGGAACAUACCUUUUGGUUCGGAACAACACAGGGAAACUUGUGCUAAUACCGGAUAAGCCCUUACGGGGAAAGAUUUAUCGCCGAAAGAUUGGCCCGCGUCUGAUUAGCUAGUUGGUGAGGUAAUGGCUCACCAAGGCGACGAUCAGUAGCUGGUCUGAGAGGAUGAUCAGCCACAUUGGGACUGAGACACGGCCCAAACUCCUACGGGAGGCAGCAGUGGGGAAUAUUGGACAAUGGGCGCAAGCCUGAUCCAGCCAUGCCGCGUGAGUGAUGAAGGCCCUAGGGUUGUAAAGCUCUUUUGUGCGGGAAGAUAAUGACGGUACCGCAAGAAUAAGCCCCGGCUAACUUCGUGCCAGCAGCCGCGGUAAUACGAAGGGGGCUAGCGUUGCUCGGAAUCACUGGGCGUAAAGGGUGC